CACGUAGUUAGCCGGGGGCUUUCUUCUCAAGUACCGUCACUCCCGGAGUAGUUACCCUCCGGGCCGUUCUUCCUUGGCAACAGAGCUUUACGAUCCGAAAACCUUCAUCACUCACGCGGCGUUGCUCCGUCAGGCUUUCGCCCAUUGCGGAAGAUUCCCUACUGCUGCCUCCCGUAGGAGUCUGGGCCGUGUCUCAGUCCCAGUGUGGCCGAUCACCCUCUCAGGUCGGCUACGCAUCGUCGCCUUGGUAGGCCGUUACCCUGCCAACUAGCUAAUGCGCCGCAGGCCCAUCCGUAAGCCGCAGAUUGCUCCGCGUUUCUUGACCUCUCCAUGCGAAGAAGCCACCUAUCCGGUAUUAGCUACCGUUUCCGGUAGUUAUCCCAGUCUUACGGGCAGGUUGCCUACGUGUUACUCACCCGUCCGCCGCUCCGGAUUCGUUUCCCGAAGGAACGCUCCAGCGCUCGACUUGCAUGUAUUAGGCACGCCGCCAGCGUUCGUCCUGAGCCGACGGAGACAAACGUCUCUACG
rnacentral:rRNA from 1 species